rnacentral:tRNA from 1 species
CAAAAUGUAGCUUAAUAUUAAAGCACCUGGCCUACACCCAGAAGAUUUCUUCAACAAGAACAUUUUGA